UACGUAGGGCGCAAGCGUUGUCCGGAAUUAUUGGGCGUAAAGAGCUCGUAGGCGGUUUGUUGCGUCGGCUGUGAAAUCCCGAGGCUCAACCUCGGGUCUGCAGUCGAUACGAGCAAACUAGAGUGUUGCAGGGGAGACUGGAAUUCCUGGUGUAGCGGUGAAAUGCGCAGAUAUCAGGAGGAACACCGGUGGCGAAGGCGGGUCUCUAGUACGGUACUGACGCUGAGACGCGAAAGCGUGGGGAGCGAACAGG
rnacentral:rRNA from 1 species